ensembl:lncRNA
CGGGGUGGUCAUGGCGGCACGUGGAGUUUCAAUCCCUCGCCAAAAAGCAGUAAUCUGCUGUCACUCAAAAACACAAUGUCCAAUCUCUCCCAAAGGUCGCAGGCGUGAUGAGACUCGAGCUCGGAAAUGUUUGUUAUGCCAUUUGUCAGUAAUGGUUAGAGCGCCACCUAGUGGGACGACUAUAAUAAUGGUUGAAUGAGAUGAAAUUUUAGCUGGUGGUUAAAUGCAUGAAUUCCAUCAAUGUGACAUCAGAUCGGAAGCGCUGGUUUUAGGUGUUGGGCUUGGCUCGACGCGCCGGGGGUGCGAGGGCCCUCAUAUCGCUGCUUGCAGCUUUAAUUAUUAGGGCCCGAGCACAAAAGUGCGAAGGCCCUAUUGUAUCUGCUCUGUUUC